ACGCUGGCGGCGUGCCUAAUACAUGCAAGUAGAACGCUGAAGAGAGGAGCUUGCUCUUCUUGGAUGAGUUGCGAACGGGUGAGUAACGCGUAGGUAACCUGCCUUGUAGCGGGGGAUAACUAUUGGAAACGAUAGCUAAUACCGCAUAACAAUGGGUGACACAUGUCAUUUAUUUGAAAGGGGCAAUUGCUCCACUACAAGAUGGACCUGCGUUGUAUUAGCUAGUAGGUGAGGUAACGGCUCACCUAGGCGACGAUACAUAGCCGACCUGAGAGGGUGAUCGGCCACACUGGGACUGAGACACGGCCCAGACUCCUACGGGAGGCAGCAGUAGGGAAUCUUCGGCAAUGGGGGCAACCCUGACCGAGCAACGCCGCGUGAGUGAAGAAGGUUUUCGGAUCGUAAAGCUCUGUUGUAAGUCAAGAACGAGUGUGAGAGUGGAAAGUUCACACUGUGACGGUAGCUUACCAGAAAGGGACGGCUAACUACGUGCCAGCAGCCGCGGUAAUACGUAGGUCCCGAGCGUUGUCCGGAUUUAUUGGGCGUAAAGCGAGCGCAGGCGGUUUGAUAAGUCUGAAGUUAAAGGCUGUAGCUCAACCAUAGUUCGCUUUGGAAACUGUCAAACUUGAGUGCAGAAGGGGAGAGUGGAAUUCCAUGUGUAGCGGUGAAAUGCGUAGAUAUAUGGAGGAACACCGGUGGCGAAAGCGGCUCUCUGGUCUGUAACUGACGCUGAGGCUCGAAAGCGUGGGGAGCGAACAGGAUUAGAUACCCUGGUAGUCCACGCCGUAAACGAUGAGUGCUAGGUGUUGGAUCCUUUCCGGGAUUCAGUGCCGCAGCUAACGCAUUAAGCACUCCGCCUGGGGAGUACGACCGCAAGGUUGAAACUCAAAGGAAUUGACGGGGGCCCGCA
rnacentral:rRNA from 1 species